rnacentral:lncRNA from 1 species
GCAUCCUAGGUUGUGCUUCACUUUGUUCAGGUGUGCGCUUGGGUGCUGCACUUUGUGCCUGAGCCUUGGACGACUUUUGCGUCUUAAGUGCACCUUGUGCCUUUGGCAGCAUCUCUCCUUUAGCUCUCACGCCCAUAUGUUCACCUUCUUGCUUUCCUGCCCCCAUUAUUAUGUUAAAGGGGAAAGGGCUCUUCUCAGUUCUCAGUUCUCAGUCUCCUUGUUUUACGAAUGAGGAACUGGAAGGUGGCAGGCAUUUUUCCCAGGGUCAGUCAUCCACUAUGAAUGAGCAGGCAUUUUUACUAGGUCAUAAUGAAUGGUAUACUAUUAGGCACUAUGACUGAAAAUUAUCUACAGAGCCCAAUGGUGUACAAUUAGGCAACCCUGUAGGGACCCUAAUGGCCAUACCACUACAAAAGGGUCAUAACGAAGUCUUUGAUCUGAUGUCUCUUCCUCAUAAGAGGUUAGGUUGUUACAUCCCUCCUAAUGCACCAAAAUAAACAAAUCAGGGAUCUGAUGUCUCUUCCUCGAUAAAGAUUGGGUUGUUACAUCCCUCCUAAUGCACCAAAAAAUAAGCAAAGUGGGGCUAUUCCUCCAACCUCUAUAAACAGAGAGCUAUCACCAUUUAUAAACAUAACACCAAGGACCUUUAUUGAUUUACAAAGGACUCCAUCACAUAAACAAAUAACAGCAAUUCACAAUGCAUUCCAAUGCACCCCUAAAAUCAAGUCAACAAAGACACAGCCCCAGCCCUAGCCCUAACCCUAACCCUAACCCUAGCCCUUGAUUUUGGUUCUAGAGAAGAAUUGAGAGGACCAAAACGUAAAACAACCACCUCUUACAGUACUUGGAAGAAAGGAACUGAAUCAAUUGUGAAAAGGCACAACAUACAUAUAAUAUGCAGUUAAGAUAUGGCAAGAGGGAUUUCCAGCAACAGAUCCAAUAAUUAAAUACGAUAACUCAAACAAAAUUUAUAUAACAAAAGAUUCAAAGAAAUCGAAUUCGAACAAAACCAAAAAUAAAUAAACAAAAAUGUAAAUUGUAAGACGUACCUUUGAAUUUAGAAGUGAGGAAGUUAUAGCCAGUAGAGUAGAGAGAGAAAGGAGCGGGAAGAAAGAGAAAGGAGUGAGAUUCGUAAACGGAGAGCUUCUCAGACACUCUUGAGAGACGCUCUGAGAUGUAGCAAAUCAAAUGAAUUUAUAGAGAAAUUAAAAAAAAAAAAAAAAAAAAUUCUCUUUAAAAAUAAUAAAAGUCAAAGAGGAGUAAAAUUAGAGGCUUGAUUUUGAAAAACCCUUUUCCGUUG